UUUGUUCAUGAGCAAAAUGCCAGUGAGUGGUUGAAUGGGGAACCUAAACUACAUUCCUCCAAAUAUUGUUCCACUGGUCAAAUAUGCCUCAUCUUGCCUCUUUCCUAAUAUAAACUGAGACACACUGGUGGUUGACAAUAAUAAGAACUUUUUGAAGGCAAUGUCAUUCCUGCCUCUCCAGACCUCAGACAGCUGUUACUCACUGUUUAUCCUUCAUCACGCCAUAGGCUACACUCCUAACACCAGCCAUCUGG